UGCCAGACUCCUACGGGAGGCAGCAGUGGGGAAUAUUGCACAAUGGGGGAAACCCUGAUGCAGCAACGCCGCGUGAAGGAAGACGGUUUUCGGAUUGUAAACUUCUGUUCUUAGUGAAGAAGAAUGACGGUAGCUAAGGAGCAAGCCACGGCUAACUACGUGCCAGCAGCCGCGGUAAUACGUAGGUGGCAAGCGUUGUCCGGAAUUACUGGGUGUAAAGGGAGCGUAGGCGGGAAAGCAAGUUGAAUGUUUAAGGUACGGGCUCAACCUGUACAAGCGUUCAAAACUGUUUUUCUUGAGUGGAGUAGAGGUAAGCGGAAUUCCUAGUGUAGCGGUGAAAUGCGUAAAUAUUAGGAGGAACACCAGUGGCGAAGGCGGCUUACUGGGCUUUAACUGACGCUGAGGCUCGAAAGCGUGGGUAGCAAACAGGAUUAGAUACCCGCGUAGA
rnacentral:rRNA from 1 species